AAGACUCAGAGCAAUGCAAUAUAAGCCCCCAUCGGGACCUGCUGAUGCUCCUACAUUAUUUAUGAUCCUGAUUCAGGAUGCUGUCGGCAGUUUUUGCAUCACAUGGCCGGAUUUCUCUUCACGGACACGGGUAAACUAAAAUGACCGAUCCUUUCGCUAGACAAGACCCUUAUUCCUCAUCUGGGAUUGUGUAGAGUCCUUUGAAGCUGCACUGAAACUGGAAUUUGGACCUUCAACCUGUUGUACCCCAGUGAAUUCCACUAUAUGGAGAAAAAUCCUGGAAUGAUUUCCACAAAAACCUUAAUUUCUUUUUGACUGAAGAAAGAAAGUCAUAAACAUGUUGGAGGACAUGGGGUUCUGCUCUCAAGGUGUAUGAAGUUCCCUGGGCAUCUCCCAUUUCCUCUCAUCCUAUGUGGGACUGGAUCGUACUAUCUUCUGGUUGGCCAAUCUUUCUUUAAUAUAUAAUCUAUAAUUAAAAACUUAAUGAUCGCAUUACAAAACCUUUUUUUCUACCAAAUCUAUCUGGAUUAUCUUAUUUUAAUGGAUCUGUAGACUGAGAGAGGGUGGUCUAAUCUCAUUUUAACUUAAAACCUGGCUCAUCGUCUUAUUCACUUUAUAGAGCAUACAUAACUCCUUACAGGAGAUUCAAAAUGAAACUACAACCAACUGCCAUAUCUGUAACACUGCAUUAUCAGGUACUUUUCUUCAUAUGUUUUGGGAGUGUCCAACUGUUAUGGACUUAUGUAAACUGAGCCUGCUUCUCAUUGUGCAAAUAUCCAUCCCAAAUAGUAUGUGACAUUAGUAAAAUUCAAUACUAUUUAGGGCGGAUAGUAUGCACAUUGGGAUGCAGGGUUAGUUUUGUCCUCCUUGCUAAAUUGAUUACAUCCCUAAUCCAGGUUUGUCUUCUCGAUGAUUUUGGCUUCUGUAUCAGUUCAGUACGAAAGAGAAUGUUUGCUGGUUUUACAGCUGCAAAGAAGACAAUAAUACAGAACUGGUUUACACUGCACACAUUUGUGCAAAAAAACAAAACAAAACAUAGACUAUAAAAAAAGAUGGACGACGCACCUUCACUCUCUUUCAUUGUAGUAAGUGAAGCCGCCAGUGUGCCAAUAUGGCGUCUCGAGUCUGCGCAUAGUGAGCGCGAAGUGUAGCCGCGAUAUCAAGGUCCCGCCCACACUCCGCAGAAUCGGUACUGAAGAACAACUCAUUAUGUCGGUGUGAAAUAAACAGUUCUGGAAAUGUAGAAAUUAAAGUUAAAGCUCCAAUCUCCUCCCGAAGAUCCAGAAAAAAGUCCGUUUGUGCUUCAGUGACUACUUCGCUCAGAGAAGCUGUCAAUCAAAAAACCCGCGUUUUUAUAGCAUCAUAUAACUAAAUAAAAACAAACUUAUUUAAAGAACCAACACUUUAACUAACAUCAGCGUGAUAAAAACUGCCUAAAAUGACGCAUUUGACGUGUAAUUUGACUGCUGGGUUUAUGACCUAUACUGCAUCCAGCCACCUGGGG